AUGCUCACUUUGGCAGCACAUAUACUAUAAUUGGAACUAAUCAGAGAUUAACAUGGCCCCUGCACAAGGAUCACACACAAAUUCGUGAAGCGUUCCAUUUUGGU